rnacentral:rRNA from 1 species
AUACGGAGGGUGCAAGCGUUAUUCGGAAUCACUGGGCGUAAAGGACGCGUAGGCGGGUUGGCAAGUCAGAUGUGAAAUCCUACAGCUUAACUGUAGAACUGCAUUUGAAACUGCUAACCUAAAGUAUGGGAGGGGGAGAUGGAAUUAGUGGUGUAGGGGUAAAAUCCGUAGAUAUCACUAGGAAUACUGAAAGCGAAGGCGAUCUCCUGGAACAUAACUGACGCUAAGGCGUGAAAGCGUGGGGAGCAAACAGGAUUAGAAACCCUAGUAGUCC